UUCAACCAACCUUGGGUCGUACCCCAACCCAAUCGCACAAAUGAAGAUCAAAUAUAUAUAUACCUAAAUAAAGGGUGAUUUGUGGGCACAAGGGGCAGAGGACACACUGACGAGAGAAAGUGUGUGAGACACAAGUGAGAAACCGAGAGAGAGUUUUAGUGUGUUAACCGGAUUUUGUAUGAUCUUGUAACCAAACUCUAUCGGUUUGAAUAUACGGUUGUGUUAAACGGUAUACGUGUCUUGUAUCUCGUGUUCUUGUCGAUUUCUAUCUCGGUUGCACCUCCGGUUGGAUUCCGCACAACCGGGUGUGUUUGUACACAAGGAUUAGGCGACUAGAUCCUCCCCUAGCCGGACCUACAAGUGGUAUAAGAGCCUUGGCUCUUCUCCUUGUUAAAACCGAGUAGUUUUCGGGUGUGUUUCAGAUUUUUGAAGUUCAUAUUUUUCUGAAAAUUAGCCUUAAACCUCAAAAAUUCUGGUAUUUUGCUGAAAGUUCUUAUAAAAACCAUUUCAUUCUUCAUUUUCACAUGAUAAAAAAAACUCAUAAGUUUGCCGGAAAAUUCAAAUUUUCUGGGUUGUUCUUCAUAUAUUCAUCUCAUCUUCAUAGUUGUUUUUGAACAUUAUCCUUGUUUUGAUCUGAUUUGGGUUUGAAUUAUUGUUGUUAUUAAAUAUAAUAUUGAGGUUGGAAGUUGUGUACAAAGCAUUAUGAUGUUUAAUUGGAAACAGUGAAGUGAGCCGAAAGUAGAUGUGAAAAGGAACCUUACUUUGUGUCAGGAGGAUAGAAAGUCAAGAUAUCCAGCUGCUUAAAAUACUCAGUCGCACAAGAUUCAGUUAGUCGCACAAGAUAGUGGGCUCGCACAAGAACUGGGUUUCCAUUUGGACUUCUGAUUAUAUCGGACCUUCAAGUGGGCUUCUAUUUGGGCAUCAAUUAAAUUAUAUUUGGGCUUCUUAUUAGUUGCACAUGAUUUGUAUCAGUCGCACAAGCUUUCUUGCUCACACAAGAUGACUUAGUUACACAACAUAUCCACUCGCACAAGAUCUGAUAGUCGCACAAGAAAACUGGGCUCGCACAACAUAGAUUUGGGCUUCUGUUUGGACUCUCGUUUCAUCGACAUUCAACAUCUGCUUCGACUUUUAAGUUGUUCCGUCGACUUCAAGGAUCUUUGUUUCGUGGGAUUUUGUUUUGUCAAGAUACUU
rnacentral:lncRNA from 1 species